rfam:Aspergillus carbonarius ITEM 5010 unplaced genomic scaffold ASPCAscaffold_14, whole genome shotgun sequence.
GCCCUGCUGGCGCAAUGGUAGCGCGCAAGACUUCUACUUCUGCAACCUCGAGUUGUGAGAGAUGGAAUCUCAUCAUGGGUAUUCAGAGAUCUUGAGGCUGUGGGUUCGACCCCCACGUAGGGCU